rnacentral:rRNA from 1 species
UACGGGGGAGCAAGCGUUGUUCGGAUUUACUGGGCGUAAAGGGCGCGUAGGCGGUCAGCACAAGUCAGUUGUGAAAUCUCCGAGCUUAACUCGGAAAGGUCAACCGAAACUGUGCGACUAGAGUGCGGAAGGGGCAACUGGAACUCUUGGUGUAGCGGUGAAAUGCGUAGAUAUCAAGAGGAACACCUGCGGCGAAGGCGGGUUGCUGGGCCGACACUGACGCUGAAGCGCGAAAGCCAGGGGAGCGAACGGG